CUAACUGAUCGACAUGUAUAUAGGAACUGCACGCCAUAAGCUCAAAGAAAGACGUCGUUCUUGUUCUUCACGGAGCUUCCGGUUUGUCUGAGAAGCUUAUCAAGGAAUGCAUUGAGAAUGGAGUGAGGAAGUUCAACGU